GAAGUAAAAGUGUAACAAGGUUUCCGUAGGUGAACCUGCGGAAGGAUCAUUAAAGAGUAAGGGUCUUCGGGCCCGAUCUCCAACCCUUUGUUUAACUACCAUGUUGCUUUGGCGGGCCCGUCUCACGACCGCCGGAAGUUUGGCUUCGACCAAACUUCUGGCCCGCGCCCGUCAGUGGCCCCUUCAAAUUCUUGAUCAAGUAUGAUGUCUUAGUUAAAAACUUAAUAGUUAAAACUUUCAACAACGGAUCUCUUGGUUCUG
rnacentral:misc_RNA from 1 species